rnacentral:rRNA from 1 species
GUCAGAGGUGAAAUUCUUGGAUUUAUGAAAGAUUAACUUCUGCGAAAGCAUCUGCCAAGGAUGUUUUCAUAAUCAAGAACGAAAGUUAGGGGAUCGAAGACGAUCAGAUACCGUCGUAGUCUUAACCAUAAACGAUGCCGACCAGCGAUUAGGAGACGUUGAAUACAAAACACCACCAUCGGUGCGGUCAUCCUUGGCGUUGGUCUUCAAAAGCCAGCGCGGGGGUGGCUUAGCCCGGUGGCACCGGUGAAUGACUCCCCUAUCAGCUUGUGAGA